UACGGAGGGGGCUAGCGUUGUUCGGAAUUACUGGGCGUAAAGCGCACGUAGGCGGUUUUUUAAGUCAGAGGUGAAAGCCCGGGGCUCAACUCCGGAACUGCCUUUAAGACUGCAUCGCUUGAAUCCAGGAGAGGUGAGUGGAAUUCCGAGUGUAGAGGUGAAAUUCGUAGAUAUUCGGAAGAACACCAGUGGCGAAGGCGGCUCACUGGACUGGUAUUGACGCUGAGGUGCGAAAGCGUGGGGAGCAAACAGG
rnacentral:rRNA from 1 species